UAUAUAGAGAUUUCUAUGAGACAUUUUUUUUCCCACAGAAGUGUCCCAAACUUACAGUCUCCACCUGCAGCUUCUGUGAUGUCCCCUGUGUCAUAGAUGCUGGAGUUGUGAUGCAGACACUUAAGACUAUGAACUGCCCUCUUAGAACUGUCACAGAGGUUAUGUUGUGUUGUGUUUCCAUUUUCAUUCAGAUGACCUAUCUAUUUGAAAAAUUGGGGUUUUGAAAUCACUUACUAUCUUUGCGUUUGUUUUCAUCUGUGGCGUAAUUCUACCAAAUACAUGCUUAUGAAGUUGGCACCAGAUUUUGGUGCCUAUUUGAUAUCUGAUUCAUCAGAAGGCUGGACAGAAAUAGUAGCAUGUUUUACAACACAGCUGUACCUGGAGCUUCCUGUGUUGCCAAAUGGACUCUUGAGCACCGAAAGGAAUUCUCUAGAGGUCAUACUUUUGAAAACUGUCAUCAAGACUUAAACAUGAUUUUUGCCAAGUGCAAUAACACUAGAAUGUUAAUAUUACAGGUGAAGCACAAAUAACCCUCUUCUUUGGAGGAAAAAGGUAAAACCAGUCUAGCCAUGCCUGAUUUACAUUCUGUUUUUGCUGUGUGUGAUUGAUACCUGUGAUGUUACACAUUAAACAUGAAGUCACCCAUACACCAAGAGAAUACUUAACUAUCGAUCCACAGACCUAGCUUAUCUUUUAGCCUAUUGUGCAAGACAGGUGCUCUGCCACUUGGGCACAUUCCCAGUCAAUAUUUUCUAUGGGAAGGCACUUUCUCAAGGGGAAUGCCAAUAGGAUCUCAGCCUGUGUUGUCUUUCAUGUUUUAUAUAAAAUAAAAAAUUAUUUUUCUAUCCUAACAGAAAGAACUUUAGUGAAUUAUCAAGUGAUAUACAUGUGCAUAGCUACAUAUGAAUUUACAAUUUCAUUAAAACCUAUCCUCCAUAGCA